GGAGCCUGAGAAAGGGAGGAGAGACAGAAGGAACCGGCGACAGUGGUCUCAGGGCCGCUCCGGGGGGCCUCAAGAACCGGAGGCAGCCCCGGAGGCUGCCGCGGGCGGACACGCCAGAGGAGGAGGCCGGGGAAUGGCCGCGGUGUGGCAGCAAGUCUUAGCAGUGGACGCGAGGUGAGGCGUGGGGUCAACGCCCAUGGGAGCAGAACUUACUGUGGUGCAUGCGCAAUGGCGAUAAGUGAGGCUGGGCGGAGAACUUGCCUUAUGCGGCUGCGUGGGCAUGCCGGAGGUGAGCAUGCGCAGUAGCGGGGGCGGGCACGCCCGCGGUGAGUUGGCUGGGCCGGAGAGGAUUCUAAACAGCAAGCUGGGAAAAUGUGGUCAGAUGUGGGCAUGCGCAAAGCGGCUACCUGUGAGAGGGAGGUGGGGCUCA
rnacentral:sRNA from 1 species